UAGAGGAAGUAAAAGUCGUAACAAGGUUUCCGUAGGUGAACCUGCGGAAGGAUCAUUAGAGAAUACUUACACACUGGAUAGGGCCACAACACCAAAAAGAUACUUUUUCAAUUAUUGAUUUAAUACAACUUUCAACAACGGAUCUCUUGGCUCUCGCAUCGAUGAAGAACGCAGCGAAUCGCGAUACGUAUCAUGACUUGCAGACGUGAAUCAUUAAUCUUUGAACGCACAUUGCGCCCCGGGGUAUUCCCCAGGGCAUGCCUGUUUGAGCGUCGGCUUUCCUCAGGCCCCCCGGCCUGGUUUUGCGCGGCCCAAACUCCAGAAAUCAAGAUUUUUUUUUGUUUUGACCUCACUCAGGUAGGACUACCCGCUGAACUUAAGCAUAUCAAUAAGCGGAGGAAAAGAAACCAACAGGGAUUGCCCCAGUAACGGCGAGUGAAGCGGCAAGAGCUCAAAUUUGAAAUCCUGCGGGAAUUGUAAUUUGAAGGCGCGGAAUUCCCCGCAAGAUUUGUCCCAAGUCCAUUGGAACAUGGCGCCAGAGAGGGUGAGAGCCCCGUCCGGACACAAUCUCGCGGCCGUUUCCGCACCAAAGAGUCGAGUUGUUUGGGAAUGCAGCUCAAAGUGGGUGGUAAAUUCCAUCUAAAGCUAAAUACCGGCGAGAGACCGAUAGCGAACAAGUACAGUGAUGGAAAGAUGAAAAGCACUUUGAAAAGAGAGUGAAACAGUACGUGAAAUUGUUGGAAGGGAAGGGCUUGCAAGCAGACACGGGAGUAAAAAACCCGGGCCAGCAUCAGGUGGAGCGGCGGCAUAAGCGCUGCGGGAAUGUGGCAAAGCCAAUUGGUUUUGUGUUUAUAGCCCGCGCCUCUUCCGCCCGCGCCGCCUGAGGCCAGCGAUCCCGAUCAAGGAUGCUGGCGUAAUGGUUGCAAGCCGCCCGUCUUGAAA
rnacentral:rRNA from 1 species